GCCGGGAUUAGAGGGGGCGCUGUUGCCUCUUUGGUCGAGAGGAAGCCUCGCGAGGCUUAGUAGAGAUGCGGUUAAAAUUCACUCCCAGCU
rnacentral:tRNA from 1 species